rnacentral:lncRNA from 1 species
AUGACAGCUCCUUCCGUCUUCUAACCUCUGGGCAGACACUGACUAAAGGAAGAAAGCACACAGAGGAUCUCUUGACGGAAUGCAAAAGACUUCCCUAGAUGUCUGCUAUCAAAUGUCUUCCUUUUAAUCUUGGGAGUAGAAAGGGAACCUGGCUUCCUUUCUGGACUUAACCAUGAAACCAGCACCAUCACAUCACCCCUAAACAGAAAGUAAGACCCUUCCACAUGCCCCUUG